rnacentral:rRNA from 1 species
GCCAUGCCGCGUGAGUGAAGAAGGCCUUCGGGUUGUAAAGCUCUUUCGGCCGGGAAAAAAUCGCAUGGGUUAAUACCCUGUGUGGAUGAUGGUACCGGAAUAAGAAGCACCGGCUAACUACGUGCCAGCAGCCGCGGUAAUACGUAGGGUGCGAGCGUUAAUCGGAAUUACUGGGCGUAAAGCGUGCGCAGGCGGUUUGAUAAGACAGGCGUGAAAUCCCCGGGCUCAACCUGGGAACUGCGUUUGUGACUGUCUCACUAGAGUACGGCAGAGGGGGGUGGAAUUCCACGUGUAGCAGUGAAAUGCGUAGAGAUGUGGAGGAACACCAAUGGCGAAGGCAGCCCCCUGGGUCGAUACUGACGCUCAUGCACGAAAGCGUGGGUAGCAAACAGGAUUAGAUACCCUGGUAGUCCACGCCCUAAACGAUGUCAACUAGGUGUUGGGUGGGUAAAACCAUUUANUACCGU